UACGAAGGGGGCUAGCGUUGCUCGGAAUCACUGGGCGUAAAGGGCGCGUAGGCGGACUCUUAAGUCGGGGGUGAAAGCCCAGGGCUCAACCCUGGAAUUGCCUUCGAUACUGGGAGUCUUGAGUUCGGAAGAGGUUGGUGGAACUGCGAGUGUAGAGGUGAAAUUCGUAGAUAUUCGCAAGAACACCAGUGGCGAAGGCGGCCAACUGGUCCGAAACUGACGCUGAGGCGCGAAAGCGUGGGGAGCAAACAGG
rnacentral:rRNA from 1 species